rnacentral:siRNA from 1 species
AGAUUUUGACAUUGUGGACUGCGC